rnacentral:rRNA from 1 species
UACGAGGGGUGCUAGCGUUGCUCGGAAUUAUUGGGCGUAAAGGGUAGGUAGGUGGUCUCAUUUGUCUCAUGUGAAAGCCUUGAGCUUAACUCAAGAAGUGCGUGAGAAACGGUGAGACUAGAGUACUGGAGAGGCUAGUGGAAUUCCCGGUGUAGCGGUGAAAUGCGUAGAGAUCGGGAGGAACACCAGAGGCGAAGGCGGCUAGCUGGACAGUAACUGACACUCAACUACGAAAGCGUGGGGAGCGAACAGG